rnacentral:rRNA from 1 species
UACUAGCGGUCCAAGUCGCAGCCAUAUUUAUUGGGUCUAAAACAUCCGUAGCUUGCUUAACAAGUCUCUUGUGAAAUUUUGUAUCUCAAAUACGAAACGUGCAAGAGAUACUGUUAAGCUAGAGACUGGAAGACGUAAGAAGUAUGUUCAAAGUAACGGUAAAAUGUGUUAAUCUUGAACAGACUAACAAGAGCGAAGGCAUCUUACGAGGACAGUUCUGACAGUAAGGGAUGAAGGCUAGGGGCGCAAAACGGAUUAGAUACCCCCGUA